rnacentral:rRNA from 1 species
GAUGAACGCUAGCUACAGGCUUAACACAUGCAAGUCGAGGGGUAACGAGAGGAAAGCUUGCUUUCCUUGUCGACGACCGGCGCACGGGUGAGUAACGCGUAUCCAACCUGCCCCCAACUAAGGAAUAACCUUGCGAAAGUAAGACUAAUACCUUAUAAUUUCCUCAGAUGACAUCUGACGAGGAAUAAAGAUUUAUCGGUUGUGGAUGGGGAUGCGUCUGAUUAGCUUGUUGGCGGGGUCACGGCCCACCAAGGCAACGAUCAGUAGGGGUUCUGAGAGGAAUGUCCCCCACAUUGGAACUGAGACACGGUCCAAACUCCUACGGGAGGCAGCAGUGAGGAAUAUUGGUCAAUGGGCGGAAGCCUGAACCAGCCAAGUAGCGUGCAGGAUGACGGCCCUAUGGGUUGUAAACUGCUUUUAUACAGGAAUAAAGUUAGCCACGUGUGGUUAUUUGUAGGUACUGUAUGAAUAAGGACCGGCUAAUUCCGUGCCAGCCGCCGCGGUAA